rnacentral:rRNA from 1 species
AGUUGGUGGAGUGAUUUGUCUGGUUAAUUCCGUUAACGAACGAGACCCUCACCUGCUAAAUAAUUCAGGGAAUGCUUCGCAUUGCCUCGGGUUUCUUAGAGGGACUUUCGGUGACUAACCGAAGGAAGUUGGGGGCAAUAACAGG